rnacentral:rRNA from 1 species
AGUGAACGCUGGCGGUAGGCCUAACACAUGCAAGUCGAACGGCAGCACAGUAAGAGCUUGCUCUUACGGGUGGCGAGUGGCGGACGGGUGAGGCAUACAUCGGAAUCUACUUUUUCGUGGGGGAUAACGUAGGGAAACUUACGCUAAUACCGCAUACGACCUACGGGUGAAAGCAGGGGAUCUUCGGACCUUUCGCGAUUGAAUGAGCCGAUGUCGGAUUAGCUAGUUGGCGGGGUAAAGGCCCACCAAGGCGACGAUCCGUAGCUGGUCUGAGAGGAUGAUCAGCCACACUGGAACUGAGACACGGUCCAGACUCCUACGGGAGGCAGCAGUGGGGAAUAUUGGACAAUGGGCGCAAGCCUGAUCCAGCCAUACCGCGUGAGUGAAGAAGGCCUUCGGGUUGUAAAGCCCUGUUGUUGGGAAAGAAAAGCAGCAGGUUAAUACCCCGCUGUUUUGACGGUACCCAAAGAAUAAGCACCGGCUAACUUCGUG